rnacentral:rRNA from 1 species
GAUGAACGCUGGCGGCGUGCCUAAUACAUGCAAGUCGAGCGAACAGACGAGGAGCUUGCUCCUCUGACGUUAGCGGCGGACGGGUGAGUAACACGUGGAUAACCGACCUAUAAGACUGGGAUAACUUCGGGAAACCGGAGCUAAUACCGGACAAUAUAUUGAACCGCAUGGUUCAAUAGUGAAAGACGGUUUUGCUGUCACUUAUAGAUGGAUCCGCGCCGCAUUAGCUAGUUGGUAAGGUAACGGCUUACCAAGGCAACGAUGCGUAGCCGACCUGAGAGGGUGAUCGGCCACACUGGAACUGAGACACGGUCCAGACUCCUACGGGAGGCAGCAGUAGGGAAUCUUCCGCAAUGGGCGAAAGCCUGACGGAGCAACGCCGCGUGAGUGAUGAAGGUCUUCGGAUCGUAAAACUCUGUUAUUAGGGAAGAACAAAUGUGUAAGUAACUAUGCACGUCUUGACGGUACCUAAUCAGAAAGCCACGGCUAACUACGUG